rnacentral:rRNA from 1 species
UGGGGAAUCUUGCACAAUGGGGGCAACCCUGAUGCAGCGACGCCGCGUGAGCGAUGAAGCCCUUCGGGGCGUAAAGCUCUUUCGACCGGAACGAUAAUGACGGUACCGGGAGAAGAAGCUGCGGCUAACUACGUGCCAGCAGCCGCGGUAAUACGUAGGCAGCAAGCGUUGUUCGGAGUUACUGGGCGUAAAGAGUGCGUAGGCGGUUUUCUAAGUUCGGUGUGAAAUCUCCCGGCUUAACUGGGAGGGUGCGCCGAAGACUGGGAAGCUGGAGUGUGGGAAAGGCAGGCGGAAUUCCUGGUGUAGCGGUGAAAUGCGUAGAUAUCUGGAAGAACACCAGUGGCGAAGGCGGUCAACUGGCCCAUAACUGACACUCAUGCACGAAAGCGUGGGGAGCAAACA